rnacentral:rRNA from 1 species
GGCACAUAUAGAUUGCUUGCAAUUUAUGAUGGCGACCGGCGCACGGGUGAGUAACGCGUAUCCAACCUACCCAUUACUAGGGAAUAACCCAGCGAAAGUUGGCCUAAUGCCCUAUGUAGUCGUUUGAUCGCCUGAGAUUUCGACGAAAGAUUUAUCGGUAUUGGAUGGGGAUGCGUCUGAUUAGCUUGUUGGCGGGGUAAAGGCCCACCAAGGCAACGAUCAGUAGGGGUUCUGAGAGGAAGGUCCCCCACAUUGGAACUGAGACACGGUCCAAACUCCUACGGGAGGCAGCAGUGAGGAAUAUUGGUCAAUGGGCGAGAGCCUGAACCAGCCAAGUAGCGUGCAGGAUGACGGCCCUAUGGGUUGUAAACUGCUCUUAUAUGGGAAUAAAGUGAGGGACGUGUCCCUUAUUGCAUGUACCAUACGAAUAAGGACCGGCUAAUUCCGUGCCAGCAGCCGCGGUAAUACGGAAGGUCCAGGCGUUAUCCGGAUUUAUUGGGUUUAAAGGGAGCGUAGGCUGUUUGUUAAGCGUGUUGUGAAAUGUAGGAGCUCAACUUUUAGAUUGCAGCGCGAACUGGCAGACUUGAGUGCGCACAACGUAGGCGGAAUUCAUGGUGUAGCGGUGAAAUGCUUAGAUAUCAUGACGAACUCCGAUUGCGAAGGCAGCUUACGGGAGCGCAACUGACGCUAAAGCUCGAAGGUGCGGGUAUCGA